UGCUGUCGUAGCGAGGUCGCCUGAAGCGACCGAGCGGAGACAGCAACUCUAAUCAAUGAAAUGCGGGCUUCGAAGGACAAACUAGGCGCGCGAGCGUUUCUGGUCACACUUUGAAGUGUGACCAGUCUGUUUUGCGCGGUUGCAAUCGUAAGUGCGCAUGCGCCAGCUCGCAUGAGCGAACUGCACGGGUAAUAGACUGUGCUAGCGUCCCGUCUUGGCCCGACUGGUGCCAAUGUGUGUAUGCUAGUGUGCUUUUAAAGUCCACAUUUAUGAGAAACAAGAUGGCGGUCAUUUAUCACACUGACAAUAUUGACAGUUUUAUUGAAAGGGAAAGCAUCUUCAACUAUAACGAAGCUUCUUAAGGCAUUAAAGAUGUGACACCCUUAAUGGGGAGUUUUCAAUUAUUAUAGUCUUCAAAGAACAAGAGGAGCUAUUAAAGAAAUGAACUGCUUAUGGAAAUGUUGGGAACAGAGAAUACAUAUAAAAAAGACAGGCCAGGGAUCAGACUGGGUGACCCCAGCUGUUUAUGAUGCAUUUGAUGCAUAUCGAACCACUAAUACACAACAUGGUCAUCACAAAGUGAAAAUGCUGUUUUGUGACAAACUGAACACGAACAGCUGAACAUUGUUGUUUAUACUCUAACAUACUGACCGAGUAUAAAACAUUUUAUCUGUAUUCUACAUUUAAUAACACAAACCAGUUAAGGGCGGGCAUCUCUUUAUUGAUAGCUUGUGGUGGCAUGUAUACAAUAGAAAUAAUUGUAAAGAAUGCAACUACAGAAGUUUAAAUCAACGCGAUCUAAAUUGUGAAAGAGACGCUUCGAAUGACCUUGCAUAUCUUACGACUCUUUAAAUACCGACUCAAUUAAACUCCCAUGGGAGGUAUUUGUGUACAUUCCGAAACGUGAUAAAAUACAUUUAUGAUAAAUUUGAUCCCCUCCAACAUUGUGCAUAAAAAGUCACAAAUUCCAAAUCAAAUGGAGAUGGUUAAUUGAGCAUGCAGUAUUGAAAAUUAAUCUGAUGAUGUUGCCCAGCAUUGCAUAGAAAAAGCCACAAAUACUACAUGAUCUAACAGUACCAGAACUGUAAUAGCUGUGUUUUAUUUUGAUGCUGCCAGACUUUGAAUGAGAACCUUUCUUUCAUUACAGUUAAUACUUCUGUUUCAAGAUAGAUUAUAUCAACUGCAACUGCAUUAAAAAAAAUUGAAGAAAAGCAAAGCCCUUUCCACAAAAUCUUAAAUAAAUAGUAAUUAAAUAGUAAAAAGAUAAAAUAAAAAUAAAAUGCUAUGAUAAAACUACAGUAUCAUUUAAUAAGUUCUGGUAUCUCACACUAUGCAGUGCAGGUGCCUAUUUUUUGUUGUUAUUGUUUAUUUUUUCCGGUGAUGUAGUGAAAAUCUGUCUCCUGAUGACCAGUUUCUAACGCUCGAUUCUUGAGUGACAUUAAUAAAACUUGGAAGAGAAGGGAA